CGGGUAAAACUCCUGCUUGUUACCGUUUCAUCUGGCCGAAGCCGGAUGUCGUUUUGGUGUCUGAUUCGGUAAGGAACCGGGAGCACCAUCUGCGUAGGCUGUUAAUUUAAGGCUUGCGCCACCUACGGUCUUGGAUAGCCCCCGCAAAGCAGGGACCCCAAAGAUUCGAGACAGCGCAAUUACUCGCACUG
rnacentral:sRNA from 1 species